ACUCCUACGGGAGGCAGCAGUGGGAAUAUUGCACAAUGGGGAAGCCAUCGAUGCAGCCAUGCCGCGUGUCGUGAAGAAGGCCAAUUCGGGGCUUUGGUUAAAGACACAUUUUCAGUAGGGGAGGAAGGUAGUGUAGUUAACACCUGCAUUAUUUGACGUUACCUACAGAAGAAGCACCGGCUAACUCCGUGCCAGCAGCCGCGGUAAUAACGGAGGGUGCGAGCGUUAAUCGGAAUUACUGGGCGUAAAGCGCAUGCAGGUGGUUUGUUAAGUCAGAUGUGAAAGCCGGGCUC
rnacentral:rRNA from 1 species